AGUACUACAGCACUGUUGGUAGUACUACUGCACUGUUGGUAGUACUACUGCACUGUUGGUAGUACUACUGCACUGUUGGCAGUACCACUGUUAUGUGUGAUUGUUAGAGGUACCUGAAGUAGUGGAUCACAUGGGUCACAGUAUUUAACGGUACAUCAAUGAAGGAGUCUAGAACUGUUCUAACUUUAACCCUGUAGACUUUAGACUGGAUCUAAAUGAUUUUGCAGAAAAUGACGGUAACGAAUGAGGAAUGUUGGCUGAAGCUGAUCGGGGGUGUGUUAAUGUUCUUUCUGACUGUGUGUGUGUGUGUGUGUGUGUGUGUGUGUGUGUGUGUGUGUGUGUGUGUGUGUGUGUGUGUGUGUGUGUGUGUGCGUGCGUGUGUGUGUGUGUGUGUGUGUGUGUGUGUGUGUGUGUGUGCAUGUGUGAACCACACUGAAUGUGUCAUAUCACGUUAUUAUUAUUUUAGUUUAUUUUAGUUUUAAUACUCAGUGAUUCAUCACACGUCGAUCAAUGACAGUUUACCGCCAACAUCUCCAGACUGAAGGGAACAAACAGACCUGAGACCUCGUCCUGAAGGAGCCUUCCUCCUGUUCUCUUGUUUCUCAGUGUGGUUCUAUGAGGUUCUGAUCCAGAGUCAGUGUAUUACUACA